UUUUAAUUACGAAUUUCAGAUUGCCCUCUCUUGUGCUUCCGUUUCUCAUUUGGGCUUUUGCUCUCUCCCUCCUGCUCGUCGCCGAAAUCGCCAUGGCUCCCGCCUCCCGCCCGCCGACGGCGACGCCGCUGGCCGCAUCCUCGUCCCGGAUAGAUUCGCCAUCGCUGAAGGCAGCCCUCGCAAUGGCUCUCAUCCACUACAAACGCCUCCCCUCGACAACCGCCGCCUCCGUGGGCACCUCCUCCCCGCCUCUUAUCCACUGGAAGCGCAAGGCUAAGGAGCGGAAGCGCGAGAUCCUCCGCCUCCGCGAAGAGCUCAAGCUCCUCCAAGAUGGGGUGCGCGGGGAGGCGAUGGAGCCGCCGGUUGCGUCAUGCCGCUGCCACUUCUUCGACGGGUGCAGCGACCUGCAGCCGCCGCCGCCAACGGGUGGAGGAGAGCAUUGGGUCGACGAGGUGCUGCGGAGGAGGUUCCUCAGAUUGGCGCGGUGGAAGGAGAAGCGACGGAGACUGGAUCGAUCUCUUCCCGUCACUAGUUUGAUGGAGUUCAAUAGCGAGGAUGAGAUACAACAGCUUAGCUUGUCUACUGACUUCCUGGUGGAGCUAUCAGAUGGGAUUUUUGCGAAAAGAGAAUCUUGCUCCACAUUUGCUACAUUCUCUCACCAAGCAGUAAAUUUCAUUUUGUCUUUACUGAAGAACAUUCUAUUGUCGAAAAGGGAAAAGGAACUGGUUGAGGAGAUAAUUGAUGGUUUAGUGACACGUUUGAUGAAAAGGAUGUGUACCAUUCCUGAAAAUGCUGGUACUUCAGAUUCAGGGCCAGUUGACUGCUCAGAUGCCCAAUUCAAUGUGCAGCACUUGUUCCGCAAGUUAGGAAAUGAAGAAUUCAUUGGUCAGCGGAUAAUCCUUGCAGUUUCUCAAAAGAUCUCAAAUGUAUCAGAAAGCUUGCUUCUCUUAGAUCCGUUUGAUGAUUCCUUCCCUGAUAUGCAUGGCAAUAUGUUCAUUAUGAUUCAAUUAAUCGACUUCCUCAUAUCUGAUUACAUGAAAAUUUGGCUAUGUUGCGAGCAAUUUGACAAAAAAAUAUUUGAAGAAUGGGUCAGAUCUAUUCUGAAGGCACGCAAAGACCUGGAAGUCGUAGAAAACAUAAAUGGGCUGUAUGUAGUGUACAUUGAGCGAGUGGUUGGAAGGUUGGCGAGGGAGGUGGCUCCUGCUGCUCACCAGGGAAAGCUGGACCUGGAUGUCUUUUCCAAACUCCUGUGCUGAUCACUUCCAGCCUCAGACUUGAAAAUGAUGCUUACCUACAGAAAGAUUGUCCAGAAAGCUGGCAUUCUGUAACAUCUGUUCGCCACUGAACAGCCAGAACCAAGACAUAACCAAAGAAUGUUUAGUUAUUUCAUCUUUAACACUGACGGUGCUUUGCCAUUCUGAAGCCAUCUGUCAACUAAUGGGGCUGGCUAGAUAUGUUCCGAAUUGCUAGCGCCAAUUCUGUUUCAGUAACAUAGCGAGGACAGCAAGCGGCAUGAAAGAUAUGCAGGGGAAUAAUGUGAGCAUGCUUAAAUAGUAUUAGGUUGGAGACACAAAAAGUUUGGACAUGAGUAGAAAUGCUUCCGCUCUUGUUUUGGGGAAGAAUGAAGUUUCACUCCUCACCCUAAGGCAAACAGAUGAACCCUAGCAAGCUUUAUUGUUCAAAUCAGUGUUUGAGGAGUUACAUCACCUUUCUAGCCGGCCUUCUGUUGACACCCUCGUCGGUAGAAUCAAAGAUGAGGCCAGGCUUUGGGCUAGGGCAGGUGCCACCGGGCUUAGAACUGCCCCACCGACACCAUGGGACCGUGGGCCGUGCAUUAUUCUUGCUCCUUGCUUGUAGCCUCUUAGGAGGGCUGUAACCUUUGCGUUUUCUCAAAA